UACGUAGGGCGCAAGCGUUAUCCGGAAUUAUUGGGCGUAAAGAGCUCGUAGGCGGUUUGUCGCGUCUGCCGUGAAAGUCCGGGGCUCAACUCCGGAUCUGCGGUGGGUACGGGGCAGACUAGAGUGAUGUAGGGGAGACUGGAAUUCCUGGUGUAGCGGUGAAAUGCGCAGAUAUCAGGAGGAACACCGAUGGCGAAGGCAGGUCUCUGGGCAUUAACUGACGCUGAGGAGCGAAAGCAUGGGGAGCGAACCGG
rnacentral:rRNA from 1 species